rfam:Musa acuminata subsp. malaccensis Doubled-haploid Pahang (DH-Pahang) genomic chromosome, chr8
AGGCAGCCCCUUUGCCGGAUCAUGGCAUUGGUGGUGUUGAUUUGCUCGGAGAACAAAUCAAGCUUUUGCUCUUCAGAUCGGUUGAGAGAUUUCUUCUCCUUGAUGCUGGUCUAGUAGGCCUUAGCACAUC